rnacentral:ncRNA from 2 species
UGACUGAACGCCUCUAAGU